UGGAGCUUCUGAUAAGGUAUUUAUAAAAUUCCUUUUAUGUUAUUAAAGUGUUUAGUUAGAGUUUUAACGAAUUAGAACGGAGAAAACAGCAUUAUAAACUCGUUUGUUGUUUUGUUGAAAUUUAUGGGUGAGGGGCUGUUUUAAUUGAAAUUGAUGGACUGAUUUGAAUUAAUAUUUUGGUUGUUGUAAUCAUGGAUUAUGUGAGGAGAGUGAAGGAAUUUAAUGGUUAGAGUUGGAGUUAAAUUGUUGUGGGUUGUUGUAAGGAUUAUAGAGAUAAUAAUGUGGUUUAGUUGCAUAUGAAUAGAUGAUGUGGUGUUGUGUGGCUGCUGUUGUAUUUCUCAGAAAUUUGCUGAAAAGAUUGCAUGAAAUAAGGUAUAAGAAGUGCAUAUGGGCUGCUUGGUGUAUUGCAAGUGUUCGUUAGAAUUUCGGGCAUCGUUAUAUUAUAGUUGGGGGCUGUUUUGAUAUGUUGUUGUUCUUGUUGAAAUAAAAAAAUUGAAGAUAUGGUUGUGUCCAUAUGUUAUUGUUGGUAUUUCUGUGUCAACAGGAGAGCAAUUGGAAAUUCGGAUAGGCGAGUUUAUAGGGGAAAUGCUGCCCAAAUUUUUUUAGACAAGUAAUGAAUUAAAUAUUUGAAUGCUAAAAGUCAUACUAUUGACAAUUGGUAAACAUGACCAUUUGUAGAUUUUGAGCGAAACGGGAAUUGAACUUGGACGAGCGUAAGGCGCAAUCAAGGUACAUACUCAGGUUUUGGUGACCCACCGGCGUAGGAUUUCCAUUCUGCGGUUCGGAGUGCUCCCUUUGUUCCGUAGCCGACAUUUUGGGUACAUACUCUACCGAUGUUCAGGUUUAUGUUUAUUCAGGGUACGGCGGGGCCCUGUCCCGCCAUAUGAUUCGGUUGGUCUGUUUAGAGGUCUGUAGACAUAUAUGUGGGCUGGUGCCUAUUUCUGUACAUUUGCGUUAUUUUGAUCCCACUCGUUAUGGCAGCCUUGUCGGCUUUUGAUAUGAUUUGAGGCAGCGUGGGACAUUUGUGCCGUAUGCGCUAUCUGUAUGUGAUUCAGUUUGGAUAAGUGUGUUAGGGUGCCCAACUCGGGCACUAGUCACGGCCUACGGGGUUGGGUCGUGACAGUUUUGACAUGCUGAAACCAUUGAACUUAAUUAGAUAUUUGAUGGUGUAUUUGAGUAUAUAUAUACCCUUGUACAAGCUAAGGUAAAUUGGCUAAGGAAGUUGACAUAUUUACUUGAUCGUUGCUUUGGGGAUUUCUAACUUCUUGGUGGUUAUGUGAGCAGCUUUCGAAGCUCUAAAGCUCCAAGGUGAUGUUCCAAGGAAGACUUAAGGAUGGCCAAUUGAGGUAGACUAUUUAGAAGCUUUGAUGAAGAUCACAUUUGCAUGAGCAUGCUCAUUUUGCAUACUUUUGGGGGCUUGUACGUGAUCCAUGUGACACACUUAGGUUUGCAUUUUUGAAAGUUGUUUACAUGGGCCUCUUUCUACUACUAAAUUAUUGUGAAUAU